GAGAGUAAGCCAAUCCCAUAAAGCCGGUCUCAGUUCGGAUCGCAGUCUGCAACUCGACUGCGUGAAGUCGGAGUCGCUAGUAAUCGCAGAUCAGCAAUGCUGCGGUGAAUACGUUCCCGGGCCUUGUACACACCGCCCGUCACACCACGAAAGUCGGCAACACCCGAAGCCAGUGGCCCAACCCUUCGGGGAGGGAGCUGUCGAAGGUGGGGUUGGCGAUUGGGGUGAAGUCGUAACAAGGUAGCCGUACCGGAAGGUGCGGCUGGAUCACCUCCUUUCUAAGGAGC
rnacentral:rRNA from 1 species